AUUCCAUGAGAAACGCUCUGGGUAAAUUCAGACAGUUUCGCUCUGGUUUAUAUUAUUUGGUUUAUAUUGCCCAUUCAUUGUCAGUUAGAGACAGUAGUGCAUUGGGACCCAAAAGCAUAAUCAGUGCUCUAACUCCCCCUUGGUCGUUAAGGCACAUCUGGUCUGUGAUAAACCCCUGUCCUUUCACACCUAGCUCGGCUUAUUAGACUAUUCUUGAGUAAAGGUUGAAUAGUCUAUUGUUCAGCUAUUAGCACCCUCCCAAACUUGCAACAAAUGGAUGUCUUUUUGUCGAGAGCAAAGCUUUUUUAUUUAAGUCGAAAAUAAUUUUUCGGAAAGUAACUUUAUUUUCAAUCAAAUAUAAUUCUUCUGAAAGCUAAAACGGGGCUUCACAGUAAAACAAAACAAAUGUUUUCAAUUAAAUAUUUAAUAAUAGAGCGUAAACUUUUAUGCAUUUUAUUCCCCAAAAAUAUUUCGCUGUCAACCAUUUUGGCCAUUUUUUGAGUGUCCGUUUGGCUACAACCAAUACUGUUCAAUAAAGCCUUUCUCUCCGACACAAAGGAAGUCAUAGCGGACACCUACGAAGAAGGACUGUGUGAUGAUGGCAUCUCAGGUAAGCAGCACUGGGCGUUCUUCCGUCCAACUUUUACAUAGCUAGUAGUUAGCUCCUACGAUUCAGUGUCGUUCAUAACAUUGUACUAUAUAACAUAGAUACAUACAUACCGUAGAAUGAUUAAUCAUGCAAUUAUUAUUCUCAAGCUAGCCAAAGCAUUUAGCUAUGAACGCCUGUUCUCGCCAUUUUCAGUUGAAUUAAUCUAACUUUAUUUCAUGGCAACUCAUAAGCAGGCCAUGUCAUAUUUGUUUCAUAGUCGAUAUAUAAUCAUAUUUCACGACAGUGUAACGGUUAGUUUUAUUUACAGAAAGAUAAAAGAAAACAAUAUGUCUGUCAGGGAAUGCUAUUUUGAUGUCAGAUGAAGAGUUAGACCAGAAAGUCAGUGACAUUAGGGCAAGGAUGCCCCAUGCGGGCUUUAGAAUGGUCAAAGGAAGUCUCAGAGCAAAGGACCAUCGUGUACAAUGGCGAAGAGGCUUCGCGGCGUGUAGAUGGUGCAGGUAUCAUUGCCAGAAUGAUCCAGCUUCGUUGCAUUGCUCUGCAAAAAUACUCUGAUCCUGCUCCCCUGUCUCUCGUCCACAUUGAUACAAAUCAUAAAUUGAUAAGGUACUAAAAUGUAUAAUGUCUCCAUCAAAUCUAAGAAGUUAUUUUUACUUUUUUAGUCUUACUUAUUUGUAGACCAAUGUUCAAUGAUGUAUGAAAUGGGAGUUGUUCUUCAUCAACUGGUAAUACAUAAAUAAUGAAGCAGGUUAAUAGGUUAAACAUUUCACUUUUAAUUCCAAUGCUUUUUUCCCAAGAUACAACAUUGUCAUCUUUAGCGGUAUAGAUGGAUUUUCAAGGAAGGUAAGUAUAGUAUUGUGUAUACAUAUUGCAUUUUUCCCAUCACCUAUUGAACAACCACAAUACCAGUCUGGUUUUAAGCCUUCUGUGCUGUAUUGACGUAUCCUGAAAAUGACAUCUGCUGCUUUAGAUUGAACGGUCGGUCAUAUCUCAGUUAUUGUUUACAAAUCUACAAAAAAUAAGCUGUUUUCUUUACUUUCAGAGUACGAGCUGAUCAAGGGGUCGAAAAUGUAGAUAUUGCCAGAUGUUCACUGUCCGAGGAACAGGCUGUGGAAGCUUUAUUGCUGGCAAAAGUGACCAUAACCUGAGGUAAUUAAACUGUUCUGUGUUCUUUUUCUCUCUUCCUCUCUGCCUGUCUUGUUGUACAUGGAACCUGUCUCACAUGCACAGUUUUGAAGAAGAAGGAUACCUUGACCUGUCGAAUUCUAUCCACCUCUUCUGUGUGGGAUGUGUUCCUGCCUCGUCUGCGGGCAGAUCUGCAGCAUUUCACAGAGUUGGAAUGAUCACCCUUUAAGUACAGAGGCGAACCUAAGACCUCACCAGCUGUGGCAUAUCGGAAUGCUCCAAACACCUGUGCACAUUUUUGUUUUUGCCUUAGCACUACACUGCUGAUUCAAACGAUCAAGUCAUCAUCAAGCUACAAGUGGUGAUAUCAGCUGUGUCGGUGAACCCCUCCCGCAUCUGAACUGGCUGACACAGAGGGCAAAGCAUGAUCAGAGGUAUGUUUUGAGGUGAGAGAGGAAGCCAGUCCCGUCAUCUCCACCUCACCUGCUCUUAAGAUAACUUUCGGGCUGACUGGGAGCCCAAGGCUGGUUAGGAGACAAUAUGUAAUUGUGAUGAACUGAGAGAAUAUUAGGGUAGCACUGUAAUUCAUGAAUCAUAUGCUGUCUGCCUCUGUUCUUACCUCUUUCCCUUUCUGUCUUCUACACCUCGUCUUUCUUACUCGUUUUAUAAUGCACACCAUAUGUGCAUUGAAGUACAGAGUGAACUUGUAUUUAUAAUAUAACAUUACAAUUAUCAUAAUUAUAAUGCAUGUAUUAUGUAUUUCAAACACCUGGAUAAUGAACUUCUUUCAAUAAAGCGUUUCACAUUC